CGUGAAUUUGAGCAAACUCCGGGAGAUAGUAAGGGACAAGGAAGCCUGGAAUGCUGCAGUCCAUGGCGUCACGAAGAGUCGGACAUGACGUAGCAACUGAACAAUAACAGGGAGGGGGCUGGGCCAGGGUAGAGUGAAUUGAUGGAGCUUCGCCUGUGAGCUGCUGAAGGCUAAUUUCUCCCCGUGGGACCAAAUUGCUCACUGAUGUCACUGGGGGCAAGGGAAGGGGAUGGGCAUCAGAAGUGACCCCAGGCAUCAGGAGUGACUCCAGAGGUGGGCCCCAUCACUACAUGGAAGAGAGGAGACUGCCGGGUCAGGGCUGGGGAAGCCCCUGAUCCACCUUCCCCUCGGAACUGCUAAAGAUUGCUGCCCUGGAAACGCGUGCCCAGUGUGGCUGCCAAAUGUGUACAUGAGGAGAAUAAACAUUGCCUGAAAAUGAAUGGAGAGAUGGAGGUAAAGCUUCUACAAGUCCAAGAACAUCAAAGAUGGCC
ensembl:lncRNA